UGCUAAUCAGAUGUCAUCUAUGGUCAGGUCAGAUGGUAGUGGGCGGUGGGUCCAGGACCUUCUACCCUUGGCCAAAUGCUGGCCUUUGGGGAGGAACACUGGGUCUCGGCUGCUGGACUGAAGUUGCUGGCAGGUGGACCAAAGGACCCUGGAUGGCAGCAGUUACAUCUUCCCAUAUAUGGCUACUGUUAUACCUCGCAUGCCAGAUAGACAAGCGGCUGCACAGUUUGUUAUUGAGAUAACAGCCCUGAGGACAGGAGAGAGAAUGAUGAGCCACCUUCCGAACAGAUUUGAACUGGUGUGAGAUAAUGGUACAAAUGUAUUUUAGAAACUGGUCUAAACUAGCCCAUAAGAAAGAGUGGUAGGUGUGGAUUCAGAAAAAGACAGUCACAUGCUAAGGAGAAAGGGAGCUGGACUAACCAGAAACUGUGGCUGCAACUGCCUGCGAAACAAAUACCAUGAGGAUUCAUUAUGAGGCAGCUUUGCCCAAAGAAGAGGGUCAGAGACAGAACUUUGCAGCCAUGCUAUUCAGUCAUGAAGAUCAAAUAGUUGUUUAAUAUUCAACUGUUGCUUCCUGUGAAGAUCUUCUUGGAGAAUCUGAGUGAGACCUUUUCCAAGUUUCAACAGAAAGGGCAGAGUUUUGAAAGCCUCAAAGUAUCACAAAAUACUUUUCUCCUAAAUGUUUGUCGGGGCUGAGUUAAAUAGAUGUUAACAAAAAUAUCCAAAGAGUUUUAAACAGCCUGAUUAAUUUUUUUUCCCCUUUGCAGCAGCUUAGAUUUCACUUUAUUGUGCUGUCUUUGUUCCACUAGUUAUUCAGUUCACACAGCAGUCAAGACAAGGUAAUCCAUGUAUUAUAAAAUCAAGCUAGCUAAUAAAACAGUUCAGGCCUAUUUUAUACAUCACAAAGAACAGCAGACAUUUUCCCCUAUUACAGGUCACCUUUAAUAAACUAUCAGGAUUAAAUGCAGUGUAACUGAUAGCUAUUGAAAUUCUGACAAUUUCAUUAAAAAUAGAAAAUUUAGUUAAAAAUAGGUAAAUUUGUUUUUAAAUGCUGUCAGAGUUUUUGCUUCCUGUGCAACAAAACUUAUCUAGGCUAUCUUCAUCCAUUUUUACACAACCACCAACAAUCCACAUAUGAGUAAGCUAGCUAGUGUAAACAAUUUAAAAAAAAAUCAGGCACUUUCAAGAGAGUACAGCCAAUAAUUUUAGAGAUCUUUAAUCUUGGCAUAGCCUGUUUUGCCAGUGCAAUGAGCACAAUUACCUUAUAAGACACUAUCCAGCAAUGUAUCCUCUAUCUGUUUAACGAUUAAAAAACAUUAGUUAGAGUCACUGGGACAGUACUUGUUUUUAGAUGCUAUUUUGAUUUCAAUCCAUUAGAUGGCAGCACAAAAGGGGGUGUUUGUAAAGUAAAAAAAUACUACACUGGUAAUCUGAUUUCAAUAGCUUGAGUAAAAAGACAGCAGCAGCUAGGAUCACAUGUGCUUUCCACUGCUUCCUAUAAAAUGCUGUGUUGACUCCUAAAGCAAAGCUUUUUGCAUGAGAUGGCCAUAUGAACUAGCAUAUUGAGACUGAGCUUAAUCUGGGAAAAUGUUAUAUAUUACAUGUGCUUGCAUGGCCUUUUGGAAAAAAUACUUAGAACUACAAAGCUUGGAAAGGCAAAUUAUUCAAAAUGAUUCAUUUAUAUAUCACAGAUCAGGUGGGUCAUAUCCUCAGCGUGGAUGAAUUGUCAUAGCUCCAUUGACACUGGCAGAAGCUCUGUCCCCAGCUCAUACAGUUCUUCAGGUCUGAAUAAGUGAGAGUGGCAAUGUUAGGAUUUCCUCAGAGAUCUUUUCCAUUCGGCUUAGCCAGAACACCUCUCCAGUUCUGGGAUAACACUUUAUCCAGCUCUCUUGAAUCCAAGAAAUCAGCUCAACUCUGGACUCAUCACUGAGGUUUCAUUAUUGGCAUACAAUUAAACUACACUUGAGUUGAUCAGGCUCAAGUGUAGCAGCUGGGGAAAUGGGCACAGAGAGGUGACGUGACUUGUCGGUUACCCAGAAUGCAACUGGCAGAGCCAGGAGUACAGCCAAGAUCAUCCAUUUCCCAUAUGCUCUAUCCAAUAAGAUGCUCUGUGCUUCUUUGUCAAGGAGUGAAAACUCCAUGUCAUGAACAAGUCUUUAUAGGAAACCAUACUUAUAUCCUCUAUUUUAUGCCCCAAUAGUAAUUACAAUAGACCAACAUACACAGCCACAUAUUUAAACUUUGAAAACAUCACUUUAUUUUAAAAAAGAGAAACUGCAUUUAAGAAAGCUUUAGUGAAGAAAUAAUUGCCCAUGCAGUCACUAACUUUUUUGAACAGUUGGAUGCUAAGCUAGUUUUUUUGCAUUCAAAAAUAAAAUCAAAGUAGGAAAGAAAGAGGUUCCGCAAAAAACCCUAAAUCACCUAGUAUAACAACUUCAAUGAACCUUUCAAAUAAAGGGAAAAUAUUUAUAUGCAAUACAGGGAUCAGUAUUUGGCCACUCCAAAGUAAAAAAUACAGUAUUUCUUAGUGAUAAGUUUAACACAAUGUGCUGGCUAUAAAUGAGUUAUUGGUUUCUACGAACUAUCUAGGAAGACACAUUCCUGUCGCUCCAUCUCAUGUGAUGGAAAAGAUGGUUAAAAAUAACUACAGUAUCAUUUGCUUAGGAAGGACAGGUUGUGAUGUGCAAAUUGUGAAUUCUGUUUUAAUGUUCUCUACAUAUGGAAAACAAAGGGGAAAAUAGUUGCCUUGUCAUUUUCAUCUGGAACCUUGAGAAUAAGCUUUGUGUGUCCUUGCAAGAGUUGAUUGUAAAACUAAGCAGAUACAGAAAUGAGACUGUCCUUUAAAAAACACAAUCUUUAAGUGUUUUGAAAUAAGUCUUUCAUUUAGUAUUUUGUUCUUUAUUUCUUAUGAUAUAGCAGUAUGUUUGGGGUGGGAAUAGAAACAGAGGAACAUUUUGGCUAGUGUGGUGACUUUAGUCAUCAUUUUUAUGCAAGUAACCUAUACUCCAUGAACGAUAGGAUAAUUUUAAAAUAAAGGAUUAUGAGAUUUUCAGACAGAGGGAUUCUGUGGCUUCCUCUCUGAGUUUGUUGGUAUCACAGUUUCUUUAAUUUUAUAUUUUUUAGCAUCAAUAAAAUACAUGACAUGUCCAGUUAUCACAAACAGUAAGGAAAUUAUCACCAGCAGCCCAAAUUGCUGCGGUUGAGGAGCUAGAAUAACCAUAAUGAAAUGUACAAGGUCCAUCAAGUAGUUCAUAGAGCUCUGCACACCAUUGACUAUCCCACGCUCUGAUUCUGGAAUGUUCUCCUGAAGAAGCUGGGUCACAGUCAAGUCAAAUGACCAAAGACCUGCAAGAGAACAGUAAAACUCAAGUGCUGUAAAUUGUGCAUGAAUUUGUUCUUUGGAUUGUAUAAUAUUCUCCUAAGGGAAUGGAAAGCCCCAUCCAUGUAAAACAUUUAAAACUACAUUGAACAUUAUACUAGAAAAUGGAUUGUAAGUAGCUGUCCACUAUUGGCAGGGAAAGGACCAAAUACCCUAAUGGGUUCCCAGCCCCCAUCUUUAAAUUUCAAAUUAGAAGAGCUACAGCAAGCUACCCCAUUGAGCCACACUACAUAUUGUGGCCCUGUCCACCAGUAUUCAGAUGAUAAACCAGUGACUCCUGUUAAAUGAUGGAAGAAUUGUGAAAAAGCUAAGAGUGUAAUGACCUCAAAAUACCCAUUGUAAUAUCACUGGAAUAACUAUAGGUUUCAGAGUAGCAGCCGUGUAUAUUUCUGUUCUCUUAUAUCCCAUCUGAAGGACCCAAGAUAAUUUUUUUUUAAUUAUAAAAAAAAUACAUAGAAUUUCUCUAAUGCACACACCUUACACAGUACCUACAAAAACUAGUUUCUUCUCCCUUCUUAGGAAAGGAUUAAUAGGAGGGUGCUUUUAUGAGGCCUCACAUUACUAAUUCUUAUAAUACGUAAUCUGCCAUUUUGUGUAAGAAAUUAAUUUCAAUUGUUAAAAUAAAAAUGUUCAUUUCAUAAUACAUUAUUUCCUCAUUUCCUUUUUUGCUAAAAAAUUGUAAUGGGGGUAUUAAUUGUUAGUGCAGAUUAGCAAGGUUCUAUGAUAGUCUCUCUUGAUAGUAGAGAUCAUUAUGAGUGAUAUAAAAAGAAUUACACUGGGAAACUGCAAGUUAAAAUAUGGAAGGACCAUCUCAGCUCUGUCUUUGUUUUUGUCAAACUCUAGACCUCCUUCAUGUAACUUUUCUAUUACUUUUGUGUUCAUAUUUAGUAUAAUUCCCAGACAAAAUCUAUGUUAAAAUGGAGUUAAUGUUGUGAGUAUAUAUCAAUACUUUAGGGUAAACUACAUUAAAGAGAUGUUGUAAUGAUCUCAAAACCAAGCACUGUAAACUUAAGAAAUUCACAGUGAAGAUUAAAUGUAGAAGAAAUCCAAACUUGAUAGAGUAUAGAAAUGUACAAUUAGGGCAACCAAAACGAAUUAACUCUUCAAACGUUCCAUAUACUUAAAACUCACUGAGUUCUUGUGCGCUUGAUUUUUUUCUUUUGAUUAAUGGUAAUUUUUCCUUGUAACUCAUCCUAAAGUAUAGUUGUCAGAAAGAAUUGCCUUUUUUCAAAAUGGCCAUCUUCUCCUAAUGUUCUCAAUGGGACUGAAGGCACAGUUGCCCAUAGGGAAGAUGAUUGCUUCCUAGGCUACGAGAAGGCCGAUACACUCAAUUCCAUGCAGAACAAGAGAGUUACACCAUUCCCAAAAUGGCCACCAACUGAGGGCAACUGUAGUUUUGGUCUUACUGAGAACAAUAGAAGAUGUCAGCCAUUUUGAAAGAGGGUAGUUCUUCAUGGAUGUCUCUGAACUAAAGUAAACUAUUGUAUCCUGCAACUUCUCAUGAAGGAGAAAUUUUCAUUUAUGCACAACAGGAAAAAAUGACCACUAAAUCAUUUUCUUUAAUGAAAAGCGAUCUGACACUAAAUUUCUUAAAAGCCCCUUUUUCAAUUAAUUUUAAUUCCUAAACUAAUUACCCAAUUUAUGUGUAACUUUAGAGAACUCAAAGAGCAAGUGCUGUAAUUUGGGAGAAGGACAUGCAUGUUUACCAUACAGGGUUGAUCCUUGCUUUAUGUUCAAAACUCAACUCAACCUUAACUGUAGAGUAGUUACCAAUCCUUCCAUAAUCAAAACAAAGUCAAAAAGACUUGUUAUAUGAAAUAAUAUGUAAUGAUGUACCGAAUUUAUAUUUAAAAAUGCACUAAACUGUGGGAAAAAAACCCCCAUGAAUAGACUCACUGGAUAAUUCUUCAUGAUACAAUCUCCAUAGGCUUCAGCACACAGCUAUACCUAAAUGCUAACCUACAGUGGCUUUGCUAUUGAAUCAUGGGCUGUUCUUGAACAGGCUGCCAGUUUAUACCAAUUAUAGUUUUGUGGAUGAAAACUAAAUAUGGCCCUGAAAUGAGACUACCUUUCUUCACUUACGAAUUAAUAAAGAUUUGAAGCUAGACCUCCAGUGGUGACAGGCUAGCAUGCUGAGCAGUUGAGUCACCUACUUCCUCUUCCCCCCCCCGCCUUGUAAAAAUAGGAUUUAUAGGAGAAAUAUAGUCUUUGUGAUGCUAUUUCUCCCCCAUCCUUUCUAUUCCUGCAGCAUACUUAGGAUUCCAUGAAAAUGCUAAAUUUAAGUCGGCUAACAAUGCUAUAAUAGUAGCAUGAAAUGUCAUUGUCAUGUAGAUCAGUGUUGUUCCUCUGAGCAGCCCUACGAAUAAUUACAGGGGGAAAUCCUAGGAAUGCAACAUAACUGUUUUAUUAAAACACAGAUAUGCUAAAGGCAGUCAAACUGACUAGAAAUCUUUGGUAGAUGUCUAUUAAUGAAGACUCAAAUGCAUAAAUGACAUGUACUAUCUGCAUAAAAUAGUUGAAAAACUUGCUGAAUUGGCAUGUGCAUGAGAGAAACUAAAAUUACAUUUUUAUUGACAAGUAGUUCACGUAAUCCUGGGUAACAGACAGUGAAGGAAUAUACAAAGGCAUCUCAAUAUGGAUGCAGUAUGAAUACACAAAAUGUAGUUGUGACUGAAUACACCCCUGUAUUCACACCCUACACAUUAUUGUAAUAACCUUUGUGCAAAAUAUGCUUGUGAUAUCAUUUGAAAACUAAUAACUUGCUGGUCAAUAAUAUCAUGAUCAAAUUUGUGUAGUAACAUUAUAUGUAAAGUUAUAAACAUAAGUUGAAAUCAGGUCUGAAGUACGUUUUCCAGACUAGUCUGGAUAAACCUGUUUCUCAAAGACAUAUGACAAGCUGAUGCCUCUAGCCAUGUGUCAUCAAAAUUGAUGGGCCAUCAUCUGUCAAGUGGCUGUUUUUUGGCAAAGAAGGAUGGCAGUAACAAAUCCAUCUACAUUUUAGCAAACAACAGCAUGGAACCUCUUUCACCACAACACUCCCUGAUUCCAUCCUCACAUCAGGAAAGGGGGACUGGACUAUAAAGUGAGGGACAAAAACACCCCAAGUUAUCUCUCUCUCACACACACAAACACACACACCCCUAAGAAGACAAAAGAAAUAGUCUUUGAACUUUGGGAGCAGAUCCUGGCCUGAGAAUUUCAUCAGCAAUGUUACUGGAAACGUGGUAAGGGAUUUCACCUUGAGCCAAGUCUAGUUUGUUAAAUUUUAGUACUAGGAAGCGUUUUAUAUUGAUUUCUCUUAUAAUCAUUUCUGACUUGAAUGCCUUAUACUUGUACUCACUUAAAACUUAUCUCCUUGUAGUUAAAUAAAUAUGUUUUAUUCCUUAAUCAAAA